GAUAAAAAGCCAAUGCAUGCUUUUACAGUAUGGAAAUUGGUGAUUUAUAAUAACUUGGCAAAUCGCAAAGUGAAAACAGGCGAUAAAUCAUUCAAGUUUCUGACCUAUCAGCUUUCGACGGUAUGGUAUUGGCUUACCGUGGCAGUGACGGUUAACGGGGGAUUAGGGUUCGAUUCCGGAGAGGGAGCCUGAGAAACGGCUACCACAUCUAAGGAAGGCAGCAGGCGCGCAAAUUACCCAAUUCUAACAGUUUGAGAGAGGUAGUAACAAGAAAUAACAAUACAAGGCAAUUAAAAUGCUUUGUAAUUGGAAUGAUAGAAAUUUAAACCCUUUUUAAAGUAUCAAUUGGAGGGCAAGUCUGGUGCCAGCAGCCGCGGUAAUUCCAGCUCCAAUAGCGUAUAUUAAAAUUGUUGCAGUUAAAAAGCUCGUAGUUGAAGUUCUGCUAAAAGUAACCGGUCUGCUUUUAAUAAAAGUGGUAUCUUGGUGUGUAUUUAGCAAUGAUGUCCUUUGAAGUGUUUUUUACUUUAUUGUAAUAAAGCAUAUUCAGGACUUUUACUUUGAGAAAAUUAGAGUGUUUCUAGCAGGCCGACGCUUUGAAUACUGCAGCAU
rnacentral:rRNA from 1 species